GCCAGACUCCUACGGGAGGCAGCAGUGGGGGAUAUUGCACAAUGGGGGGAACCCUGAUGCAGCGACGCCGCGUGGGUGAAGGAGCGUUUCGGCGCGUAAAGCCCUCUCGGCAGGGAAGAAGGAGGACGGUACCUGACUAAGAAGCCCCGGCUAACUACGUGCCAGCAGCCGCGGUAAUACGUAGGGGGCAAGCGUUAUCCGGAUUUACUGGGUGUAAAGGGGGCGCAGACGGCAGCGCAAGCCAGGAGUGAAAGCCCGGGGCCCAACCCCGGGACUGCUCUUGGAACUGCGCGGCUGGAGUGCAGGAGGGGCAGGCGGAAUUCCUGGUGUAGCGGUGAAAUGCGUAGAUAUCAGGAGGAACACCGGUGGCGAAGGCGGCCUGCUGGACCGUGACUGACGUUGAGGCUCGAGAGCGUGGGGAGCAAACAGGAUUAGAUACCCGGGUAAAC
rnacentral:rRNA from 1 species